rnacentral:rRNA from 3 species
CAACUUUCAGCAACGGAUCUCUUGGCUCUCGCAUCGAUGAAGAACGCAGCGAAAUGCGAUAAGUAAUGUGAAUUGCAGAAUUCAGUGAAUCAUCGAAUCUUUGAACGCACCUUGCGCCCCUUGGUAUUCCGAGGGGCAUGCCUGUUUGAGUGUCAUG